rnacentral:rRNA from 1 species
GAUGAACGCUGGCGGCGUGCCUAAUACAUGCAAGUCGAGCGAACAGAUGAGGAGCUUGCUCCUCUGACGUUAGCGGCGGACGGGUGAGUAACACGUGGAUAACCUACCUAUAAGACUGGGAUAACUUCGGGAAACCGGAGCUAAUACCGGAUAAUAUAUUGAACCGCAUGGUUCAAUAGUGAAAGACGGUCUUGCUGUCACUUAUAGAUGGAUCCGCGCCGCAUUAGCUAGUUGGUAAGGUAACGGCUUACCAAGGCAACGAUGCGUAGCCGACCUGAGAGGGUGAUCGGCCACACUGGAACUGAGACACGGUCCAGACUCCUACGGGAGGCAGCAGCAGGGAAUCUUCCGCAAUGGGCGAAAGCCUGACGGAGCAACGCCGCGUGAGUGAUGAAGGUCUUCGGAUCGUAAAACUCUGUUAUUAGGGAAGAACAAAUGUGUAAGUAACUAUGCACGUCUUGACGGUACCUAAUCAGAAAGCCACGGCUAACUACGUG